UGGGGAAUCUUAGACAAUGGGCGAAAGCCUGAUCUAGCGAUGCCGCGUGAGUGACGAAGGCCCUAGGGUCGUAAAGCUCUUUCGCCAGGGAUGAUAAUGACAGUACCUGGUAAAGAAACCCCGGCUAACUCCGUGCCAGCAGCCGCGGUAAUACGGAGGGGGUUAGCGUUGUUCGGAAUUACUGGGCGUAAAGCGUACGUAGGCGGACUAUUAAGUCAGAGGUGAAAUCCCGGGGCUCAACCCCGGAACUGCCUUUGAUACUGGUAGUCUUGAGUUCGAGAGAGGUGAGUGGAAUUCCAAGUGUAGAGGUGAAAUUCGUAGAUAUUUGGAGGAACACCAGUGGCGAAGGCGGCUCACUGGCUCGAUACUGACGCUGAGGUACGAAAGUGUGGGGAGCAAACA
rnacentral:rRNA from 1 species